GAGCGAGCCAGAGCUCAAGAGAAAGUCGCAUGCACUGAGCUCAUCGCUGUGUCGCCUGCAGAGACGGGACAGGAGCAGCAGGAGCCGCUGCUGCUGCUGAGAGAGCGUUGUGAGGAGGGAGCGGUUCCACCGUUGACGGUGACGUUGCGAGCUGAGCACGUGGAGCCAUGGCUACAGACGAGAGAUUCAAGAAGAAGACGGAGCAGGUGCGGAUUCUACUGGACGACCUGAAGAAGCUCUCCAGGUUUGACAAUUCCACCAUCCCAAUCCUACAGAGGAUCCGUAUUAUCUAUGAUCCAUACAACGAGGAGGAAAAAUAUGCCCUUGCAAGAGCCUUCCACAAGGAGGGGGGUAUAGGUGGGUGCUGCUCCUCACUACACGGCACAGCGAUUGCACUACAACGAUAAACUCUCCAUCUCCCUGAUGGACCUGGCUGUGAAC